rnacentral:lncRNA from 1 species
AUGGAACAGUACCAAACACAUAAAAUAUAUGGAAACCCCAUUACAACGAGCCCAUCCUCCUAUAGCUCCUCCCACCAUCCUCCACUGACUGUCACCAGCCUCAUUGAGAGAACCAAGUCUGUGGUUGCUUGGGCUUUCACUACUGUGUAUCUCUCUAUCUUUCCUUUAUCUUUCUCACUGUAUCUCUCUCCCUCUCUCUCUACUAUCCUACACAUCCAUCCUUUAUUCUGUCAUGAACAUUUCUCUACCUCUCCUCUCCUCUCCUCCUCUCCUCUCCUCUCCUCUCCUCUCCUCUCCUCUCCUCUCCUCUCCUCUCCUCUCCUCUCCUCUCCUCUCCUCUCCUCUCCUCUCCUCUCCUCUCCUCUCCUCUCCUCUCUCUACCACUCCUUUCCUCUCUCUACCUCCUAUCACUAUCUCUACCUCUCCUCUCUCUACCUCUCCUCUCCUCUCUCUACCACUCCUUUCCUCCCUCUACCUCCUCUCCACUCUACCUCUCCUAUUAUAUCUGUAUCUCUCCUCUCCUCUCUCCACCUCUCCACUCCUCUCUCUACCUCUCCUCUCUCCACCUCUCCUCUCUACCUCUCUCCUCUCCCCUCUAACUCUGCCCUCUCUACCUCUCCUCUCUCUACCUCUCCUCUCUCUACCUAUCCACCUCUCCUCUCCUCUCCUCUCCUCUCCUCUCCUCUCCUCUCCUCUCCUCUCCUCUCCUCUCCUCUCUCUAUCUCUGACCUCUCUACCUCUGACCUCUCUACCUCUGACCUCUCUACCUCUGACCUCUCUACCUGUGCCCUCUCUACCUCUCCUCUCUCUCUACCUCUCCUCUCUCUACCUCUCCCCUCUCUACCUCUCCUUCUCCUCUACUCUCUCUACCUCUCCUCCUCUACCUCUCCUCUCUACCUCUCGUUUCCUCGCUCUACCUUUCCUCACUCUACAGCUCCUCUACUCUUUCUACCUCUCCUCUCCCUACCUCUCAUUUCCUCUCUCUGCCUCUCCUGUCUCUACCUUUCCUCCUCAGGUGACCUUCAUGUUGAAUAA